GGGUUGUGAGGUUAAGCGACUAAGCGUACACGGUGGAUGCCCUGGCAGUCAGAGGCGAUGAAGGACGUGCUAAUCUGCGAAAAGCGUCGGUAAGGUGAUAUGAACCGUUAUAACCGGCGAUGUCCGAAUGGGGAAACCCAGUGCAAUUCGUUGCACUAUCGUUAACUGAAUACAUAGGUUAACGAGGCGAACCGGGGGAACUGAAACAUCUAAGUACCCCGAGGAAAAGAAAUCAACCGAGAUUCCCCCAGUAGCGGCGAGCGAACGGGGAGCAGCCCAGAGUCUGAAUCAGCUUGUGUGUUAGUGGAACGGUCUGGAAAGUCCGACGGUACAGGGUGAUAGUCCCGUACACCAAAAUGCACAGGCUGUGAACUCGAAGAGUAGGGCGGGACACGUGGUAUCCUGUCUGAAUAUGGGGGGACCAUCCUCCAAGGCUAAAUACUCCUGACUGACCGAUAGUGAACCAGUACCGUGAGGGAAAGGCGAAAAGAACCCCGGCGAGGGGAGUGAAAAAGAACCUGAAACCGUGUACGUACAAGCAGUGGGAGCACCUUCGGGUGUGACUGCGUACCUUUUGUAUAAUGGGUCAGCGACUUAUAUUCUGUAGCAAGGUUAACCGUAUAGGGGAGCCGCAGGGAAACCGAGUCUUAACUGGGCGUUAAGUUGCAGGGUAUAGACCCGAAACCCGGUGAUCUAGCCAUGGGCAGGUUGAAGGUUGGGUAACACUAACUGGAGGACCGAACCGACUAAUGUUGAAAAAUUAGCGGAUGACUUGUGGCUGGGGGUGAAAGGCCAAUCAAACCGGGAGAUAGCUGGUUCUCCCCGAAAGCUAUUUAGGUAGCGCCUCGUGAAUUCAUCUUCGGGGGUAGAGCACUGUUUCGGCUAGGGGGUCAUCCCGACUUACCAACCCGAUGCAAACUACGAAUACCGAAGAAUGUUAUCACGGGAGACACACGGCGGGUGCUAACGUCCGUCGUGAAGAGGGAAACAACCCAGACCGCCAGCUAAGGUCCCAAAGUCAUGGUUAAGUGGGAAACGAUGUGGGAAGGCACAGACAGCCAGGAUGUUGGCUUAGAAGCAGCCAUCAUUUAAAGAAAGCGUAAUAGCUCACUGGUCGAGUCGGCCUGCGCGGAAGAUGUAACGGGGCUAAACCAUGCACCGAAGCUGCGGCAGCGACACUAUGUGUUGUUGGGUAGGGGAGCGUUCUGUAAGCCUGCGAAGGUGACCUGUGAGGGUUGCUGGAGGUAUCAGAAGUGCGAAUGCUGACAUAAGUAACGAUAAAGCGGGUGAAAAGCCCGCUCGCCGGAAGACCAAGGGUUCCUGUCCAACGUUAAUCGGGGCAGGGUGAGUCGACCCCUAAGGCGAGGCCGAAAGGCGUAGUCGAUGGGAAACAGGUUAAUAUUCCUGUACUUGGUGUUACUGCGAAGGGGGGACGGAGAAGGCUAUGUUAGCCGGGCGACGGUUGUCCCGGUUUAAGCAUGUAGGCUGGUUAUCCAGGCAAAUCCGGAUAAUCAAGGCUGAGGUGUGAUGACGAGGUACUACGGUGCUGAAGUAACAAAUGCCCUGCUUCCAGGAAAAGCCUCUAAGCAUCAGGUAACAUCAAAUCGUACCCCAAACCGACACAGGUGGUCAGGUAGAGAAUACCAAGGCGCUUGAGAGAACUCGGGUGAAGGAACUAGGCAAAAUGGUGCCGUAACUUCGGGAGAAGGCACGCUGGUGUGUAGGUGAAGUCCCUGCGGAUGGAGCUGAGACCAGUCGAAGAUACCAGCUGGCUGCAACUGUUUAUUAAAAACACAGCACUGUGCAAACACGAAAGUGGACGUAUACGGUGUGACGCCUGCCCGGUGCCGGAAGGUUAAUUGAUGGGGUUAUCCGUAAGGAGAAGCUCUUGAUCGAAGCCCCGGUAAACGGCGGCCGUAACUAUAACGGUCCUAAGGUAGCGAAAUUCCUUGUCGGGUAAGUUCCGACCUGCACGAAUGGCGUAAUGAUGGCCAGGCUGUCUCCACCCGAGACUCAGUGAAAUUGAACUCGCUGUGAAGAUGCAGUGUACCCGCGGCAAGACGGAAAGACCCCGUGAACCUUUACUAUAGCUUGACACUGAACAUUGAGCCUUGAUGUGUAGGAUAGGUGGGAGGCUUUGAAGCGUGGACGCCAGUCUGCGUGGAGCCAACCUUGAAAUACCACCCUUUAAUGUUUGAUGUUCUAACGUUGGCCCCU
rnacentral:rRNA from 1 species